CAGCAGGAGCGGCUGCUGGUUUCUGUCUUGUGUCAGGCGGGUCGGAGGUUAUUUUUAGUGGCCGAAUGGUUCGUGUUGCAGUAUGGGAGUAAGAAUAUCUUGCUCUCUCAUCUUAAAUCCAAUCGGGAGAUGUCGCGCCGAGUUAAAGAAAGCUUGUAAAAUAACGGAUACCGGUACAGGCCCUCCGGUGAAGCUCUACCUGCGUGAUAAAUAACUAACCCAGUAGAAGUUAGCCCAGUAGAAGUUAGCCGAGUAGACGUUAGCCCAGUCAAAUUUUGAAGUCUUUAUCCGCCGAAGGAAACAUUAACCGACCUUGUCAAACAGGACAUUUAAAAAACCCUGAAAAGCACGCCUUAACUGAAGCAGUUAUUAGUGAUGGCCAGUGCCGCAGCCGAGCAAGAGGAACCUCUUCGUCCCCCAGACGAACCGAGUCAUUCUGAGCCUGCUUUCAGAGAGGCGCAGAAGUGGAUAGAGGAGGUGACAGGUAAGAGUUUCGGGGAGAAGGACUUCAGGAGUGGCCUUGAGAAUGGAAUCCUUCUCUGCGAAUUGCUGUGUUCCAUCAGACCUGGUCUGGUGAAGAAGAUCAACAGGCUGCCGACACCCAUCGCUGGACUGGACAACCUGUCAGUGUUCCUUAGAGGCUGCAAGGAGAUGGGUCUAACAGGAUCUCAGCUCUUCGACCCAGGAGAUCUGCAGGCCACCUCAGCUGACUCCAGGGACUCAGGCUGUAGUAGGAAACUGAAGAAUGUGUUAGUAACAGUGUUUUGGUUGGGGAAGGCAGUUAGUGUGUGUCCCUCGUACAAUGGUCCUGUCCUGAACCUUAAAGAGUUUGAGGAACUGCUGUCACACAUGAGAACGGAGGACAAGUUGGGGUCAGGUGUAAGGGACAGUGGUUACGACUGUUGGGACUCAGAGUCUCUUUCUCCCCCUCAACACACACGGGAUGACUCUCUAGACAGCCUGGAUUCUUAUGGCUCCCAGUCCCAAACAAGUCCCUCCCUGGAAGGCAUCACUCAUGGUAACAGUGACGGGAAGGGUUCUAUCAUGACAGGGGACUCAGAGAGUGAAGCGGCCAACAGGAAGCCAGAUGUCCAUCGGGAUGACAUGUUAGCUCGACGUACGGCGGUUGGCGAAUCACGAAGCUCUGUUCCUUUUAAUCAGUUUUUACCCAAUCGUAGCAAUGCCACUGCUUAUGUCCCCACCUCCCGACGCAGGCCACGCCCAGAGGAUGUUGAGCAAUGCAGUGUCCCUCUGCCUAUCCAAGAGGAGAGAAAGGGGAGUAAGGAGGGGGGAGGAACCUUUAAGAAACCCUUAGGUCCACGCUCCAGAAACCCCAAGACAGUCACAUGGGCCCCAGAAGGGGGGGGGCUUAAGGAGGAAGAGGAAGGACUUAGGCAGGAAGAGGUUUUAAAACAGGAAGAGGAAGAGCAGCAGCGGCUAAAGAGGCUUCAGAAGGCUGGAAUUAAGGUUCUGCCUGCUGUGAUUCGCUACGGAAGACCAACCCCCCCUUUUGAGCAACAAGAAGUGAGAUCACCGUCCCCUGACAUCAUCCUUCGUUGUCACAAUGACUUCCUGACCAACCAGAAGGCUACAUGGGACUCUGAUUCAGAGGGGGAGGCAGAGAGUGGAGGGGUCAGGACAGUUCCUGACAUCCGUAGAGACGACCUUGCCUCCCGACGCAACCCACGACCUCAUGCUGCUCCCAGGACACACCAGUAUAUACCUGCCCCAGCCUGCAGCCAGAGAGACAGACAGGUGUGGGAGAACAUCAGGCAGGCCUCACAUCGGGCCUUGAUGGAGAGGAUGGAGGUGGAGAGAAGGACAAGUGAGGCAGAGUGUGACAUCAUCAUUCGCAGGAACAACCCCUUCUUAAACCCCUCCUCUCAGCAAGAUGAGGAGGAGGAAGAAGAGGGCACAGGGAGAGGAGUUAAGGUCCGAUUGCCCAAUAAGACAAAAGAUGACCUCGCUAGGAGGAAGGCCCAAAGUAGGCAACUCCCAUCACAUAGAGAUGGACCAAUGAGCUUCGUCCCUGCUUCAAUCACCCGUUCAGAUCUGGAUAGAUGGGAAAGACUCAAGAUGGCUGAACCCAGUGAGUCUAGCCCCUCCCCUGUGUUUUGGGCAUGCCUGAAGAAACCUGGGACCCCUGACAUCCUCACCCCGGCGACAGGGUCAUUCCGAUGUCAUUCUAAGUUUGUGACCUUUGGGGGUGUGACAGAGCUGAAUGAACAGCCAAUCAAGUCUCCAAAGCAAGGGGAGUCUGAGUUGUUACGGAAACUGCAGUUCAAGACAACCAUUACCAUGCCGAUCAUGGGGCUGCGCUCCCAGCUCCCUGUGCAGACGGACAGCCACAUGGGCGGAGUCAAUGUCUCACAGAACCAGCCUCUGAAGUACGACCCCCCCACCGUGACCCCUCCUCUGUUAGAGAGCGAGAGGGGAGAGAGAGAGGAAGAGGAGGAUGAUGGGAAGGUUCUGGACCUCCAGAGGGAUAACAUGAACCCCAUCCUGCCUCUGCCGGGUUCCAAACGCCCCGUACAAGAAGUAGUCACAGACAGGAAGCGACAACAACCCUGGUGUUUCGCAGAAACGCCUCAACAGCACACCGACAUGGCAACGGUUGUCAGGUCACCCGUCCCCCGAAAUGAUAGCUAUGAUGAUGAUGGUGAUGAUGAAGAAGAGAGCACUGUACCUGACCUAGAGAAGGACGAUAUGUUGGCUCGCAGGACCAGGGAAUACCAGCGUAGCAUGGGAGGACACAGCCACUCGUUUAACCUCUUCCUGCCCGUACCUGGUGCAGCCCAACAUUUGAGAGGUGGAGCGAAACCUCUCAGCAAACAGAGACAGCAGCCAGACAGCAGCUGCGUUUCCCCAGCAGCAGGACCUGUAGCCAUGCCCUCCAAAACCACAACCAGGAAGUGUCUUUUAGUGAGGGAGGACAACCUAUCUCUCUCCCCCACUCCUCCUCCUUCCUCCAACCCUCCCACCACCCCCCCACCUCUCGACCAGAUAAAGAAAGAGAUGGAGGGAGGGAUUGAGGAAGGAAUAGAGGGAGGGAUAGAAAGAGAGCUUGGGAAUAAAGAGGAGAGCAGAAAGGUGGGUGGAGAGUCUCACAGAAGAACGUUCUGGCUGGAAGACGAUGAUCUGCCUACAAUGAUGUUGAGCAGGAGAGUGUGCAGUACGUCGGAGGAGUCAGAGAGCAUGAGCAUGAUUGACAUGCCCUAUGAACUGGAGGGGGCAGGUCUAAUGGAGCAUCUGGGCCAAUCACGAUACAAGCGCAUGCAGGAUCAAUACACUUAUUGUCAGGAGGAGGAAGAGGAGUGGAGAAAUGAUCUGGCUCGGUGGAAGAGUCGGCGCCGUGGUGUGUCUCAGGAUCUCAUCCGGAAGGAGGAGGAGAGGAAGAUGAUGGAGAGAAGGAUGAAGGAGGAGGAAGGCCAUGCCCAGAAAAAGAAUAUCAAAACCUACAGAGAGAUUGUAGAGGAGAAAGAGCGCAGGGAGGCGGAGCUAUGUGCUGCAUACAAGAGAGCAGGGUCUAAAGAGGAAGCAGCAAUGGUUCUUCACCGUUAUGCGCUCCGCUUCACCAUCAGCGAUGCCACGCUAGAAAGUCUGCAGCUCCCUAGAACUACUAGUACCCAGAACCAUAUUAAACAGAACCCUGUGUCUAAAACCACCGGUACCGACCAGAACCUGGUACCAGGUGGAACCAGAACAGAUGGUGAAUCCAGCAAAACUAAGACUGACCAGGAGUCCAGACCGACUGACACACAGCAAGACCACAAUCAAUACACUAAAGCAACACCACUAACACAGCAGAACCACACAGAACCAGUGACACAACACAAACCGCAGAACCACACAGAACCACAGACACAACACACAGUCCCCCCUCCUAUAUCACCCCCCCCCCCGCCCCCUCCCUCUCCUUACAGCCAAGCCCUACAGCCGGCUCAGUCUUCAGCCUGUCAAGAUCCCACAGACCGGACACCAGCUUUUCAAAGACCCACAGAUCAGACACCAGCCUGUCAAGAACCCACAGACCGGACAACAGCCUCUCAGGGACCCACAGACCAGACACCAGCCUGUCAAGAACCCACAGACCGGACACCAGCCUGUCAAGGACCCACAGACUGGACAUCAGCCCAUUAUGGACUCACAGACCGGACACCAGUUCCACAAGGACCCACAGACUGGACACCAGCCCGUUAUGGACCCACAUACCGGACACCAGCCUGUCAAGGACCCACAGACCGGACACCAGCCUGUCAAGGACCCACAGACCGGACACCAGCCUGUCAAGGACCCACAGACCGGACACCAGCCUGUCAAGGACCCACAAACUGGACUCCAGCCUGUCAAGGACCCACAAACCGGACACCAGCCUGUCAAGGACCCACAAACCGGACACCAGCCUGUCAAGGACCCACAAACUGGACACCAGCCUGUCAAGGACCCACAGACCGGACACCAGCCUGUCAAGGACCCACAGACCGGACAUCAGCCUGUCAAGGACCCACAGACCGGACACCAGCCUGUCAAGGACCCACAGACCGGACAUCAGCCUGUCAAGGACCCACAGACCGGACACCAGCCUGUCAAGGACCCACAGACCGGACACCAGCCUGUCAAGGACCCACAGACCGGACACCAGCCUGUCAAGGACCCACAAACUGGACACCAGCCUGUCAAGGACCCACAAACCGGACACCAGCCUGUCAAGGUAAACAGCUCUGUGGGGUUGUCAAGAAGAUCAGGGGAAGAGUUGGGGUCUGAUUCUACAUGGCUUAGCAACCAGAACACCUACUCAUCAUCUGUGACAGAAGGACAUCAGGGGAGCAGUGUGACUAUUGAAAGCCCCAUGUUAAACCUGGCUAAGCGCGUUAAUCACUGGGUCUGGAAUCCAGAGGAGGAGAGGAGCCGCCAGGAGAAGUGGCAGCAGGAGCAGGAACGACUCCUACAGGAGGAGUACCUGAGGGAGCAGGAGAAGCUGAAGGUGGAGUGGGAGAGAGCGCAGACAGAGGUGGAGGAGGAGGAGAGGAGACACAACGAAGAGGAGAGGAAGAUCCUGGAGGAGACAGCGACACAUCUUUUUCAAGCCCCACCCAUACAGAUCUCUAUUCAGAUAGAACCAAUAGCUCCAGCACCUCAGAUCUAUAAGACUGAACCAAUCGCUCCAGCACCGCAGAUCUAUAAGACUGAACCAAUCGCUCCAGCACCUCAGAUCUAUAAGACUGAACCAAUCGCUCCAGCACCGCAGAUCUAUAAGACUGAACCAAUAGCUCCAGCACCUCAGAUCUAUAAGACUGAACCAAUCGCUCCAGCACCGCAGAUCUAUAAGACUGAACCAAUCGCUCCAGCACCUCAGAUCUACAAGACUGAACCAAUCGCUCCAGCACUGCAGAUCUAUAAGACUGAACCAAUCGCUCCAGCACCUCAGAUUUAUAAGUCAGAAGCAAGUGCUUAUGAAAAUAGCCAGGAUCAGCAUGCCAUGACCCCGGUACCAUUUACACCGGAUGCAUCAUGGGAAAGUGAGUCCUCUAUGGGACAGAUGACAUCUCUGGACCGCACCUCCCAGCAAGACCUGCCCAGCUCUGAAAAGAGGUCAGGAUCAUAUGACUGCCCACAUUCACCUUUGUCAUCGUCAAUAUCAUCAUCAUCACCUCAACCAUUCUUACCCAGCAGGUGUGUGAGUGGAAAACGUCUGUGUUCUGGCUGUGGUCAGCUGUUGGAGAAAGGAGCAGCGAUGAGCAUUGACACACUGGGCCUGUACUACCACCUAGCCUGCUUUAAGUGUGGAGUCUGUAAAGGACAGCUAGGUGACAGCAGUUCAGGGACAGACGUCAGGAUUCGUAAUGGACUUCUGAGCUGUCGUGAUUGUUACCUGGCAUCCCACGCAGUUGGCUAGCCGACUACACUAUGAUUGGCUACAACCUGAGUUGCCUUAGCAACACCAUCGACCAUCUUCAUUGUACAAGUCUGGACCAUCUCCAUGGUGAUUAGAAAAAUCUGGAAUCUGAAAUUCUUCAUUCUGGAACUCUGCAAAAAUUAAACUUUUACUGUAAUCACAAACUUUUCCUAAUGAUUGUAACUGCUUGAGUUGGUUAACUUCUAACAGAAGCUAAGCUUAAUUGUUGCAUUGUAGCUAACUAAACAGAGUAUCUAAGAGUGACAGAGUACCUGAAGCACAACCAUGUACGGCGUACAGCCAUGUAUCUAUGACAGCGCCCACAUGCUAGAUCCAAACACCAGCAGCAUCUAUCUACUUUACUGUGUUACUCAACUACAUCGUAACUGCUACUCUUCACCAUAAUAAUGGAUAAUGGAACACUUGAUAGGUUGAUGUCAUAGAGCCCCUAUGGAUCAGAAUGGACCGAUUUAGCAGCCAUCUUACCUUAGACCUGUUCAAAACCAGCUCCAAUGAUUUGUUAAACAAAUCAAUUUAAAAGAGUUUUCAACUAAUAAUUCAUUUAAGAGUACUAAAUGUGUAUCUGGUAUCUAAUUACAUAGGAAUAUAGACACAGAAUAGUACUUUAAAUAUAGUGCAAAUGUGAAUUUCUUUAUUUGCUAUGAUAACUAAGAAACUGCGAUUUUACAUUAUAAUAUAUGUACAGUAUCUCACAAGAUUUAGUACACUUUUUUGUAAAUAUUU